ensembl:rRNA 5S_rRNA 5S ribosomal RNA
GUCUACGGCCAUACCACCCUGAAUGCACCCGAUCUCAUCUGAUCUCAGCAGCUAAACAGGGUGGGGCCUGGUUAGUACUUGGAUGGGAGAAUUGUGAGUAACGAGAAAAUAAUGACAGCAGCAAGGGUCAUGGGCC